rnacentral:lncRNA from 1 species
AAGCACGGAGCAUCUCGUGCUUCCAGGCCGCUUUUGAUAUUGCGACUUUCGAAUCGUCAAUCGGCUCCGUUAAACUUGAUCUAGAGUAUUUGAAGUAUCUAAAAAAUAAAUUUUGCAAUUUUUCGAUAUCAUUUGCCUAGUAAACUAAGGGGCUCAAAAUCAACGGCUGAAAAUAAAAAUCUUACAAAACGUGAUAAUAUGACAUUAAAAUUUUAGAUCAAAGAUAUUGAUCUUGUUUUAUAUAGUAUAAAGAAUUUUCUAUCAAAAUUUCACGUGAUUUGAAUAUUUCUACACCGUUAAACUUGCAAACGGCUCACCACGGCCAUUAAAAUUAUUGAUUUUGAGCCCCUUCGAUCACUAGGCAAAUGAUAUCGAAAAAUUAUAAAAUUUAUUUUCUAAGUACUUCAAAUACUCUAGAUCAAGUU